rnacentral:rRNA from 1 species
AGAGUUUGAUCCUGGCUCAGGACGAACGCUGGCGGCGUGCUUAACACAUGCAAGUCGAACGGAAAGGCCCUUCGGGGUGCUCGAGUGGCGAACGGGUGAGUAACACGUGGGUGAUCUGCCCUGCACUUUGGGAUAAGCCUGGGAAACUGGGUCUAAUACCGAAUAUGACCAUGCACUUCCUGGUGUGUGGUGGAAAGCUUUUGCGGUGUGGGAUGGGCCCGCGGCCUAUCAGCUUGUUGGUGGGGUAAUGGCCUACCAAGGCGACGACGGGUAGCCGGCCUGAGAGGGUGACCGGCCACACUGGGACUGAGAUACGGCCCAGACUCCUACGGGAGGCAGCAGUGGGGAAUAUUGCACAAUGGGCGCAAGCCUGAUGCAGCGACGCCGCGUGAGGGAUGACGGCCUUCGGGUUGUAAACCUCUUUCAGCACAGACGAAGCGCAAGUGACGGUAUGUGCAGAAGAAGGACCGGCCAACUACGUGCCAGCAGCCGCGGUAAUACGUAGGGUCCGAGCGUUGUCCGGAAUUACUGGGCGUAAAGAGCUCGUAGGUGGUUUGUCGCGUUGUUCGUGAAAACUCACAGCUUAACUGUGGGCGUGCGGGCGAUACGGGCAGACUUGAGUACUGCAGGGGAGACUGGAAUUCCUGGUGUAGCGGUGGAAUGCGCAGAUAUCAGGAGGAACACCGGUGGCGAAGGCGGGUCUCUGGGCAGUAACUGACGCUGAGGAGCGAAAGCGUGGGGAGCGAACAGGAUUAGAUACCCUGGUAGUCC